AAGUCGUAACAAGGUUUCCGUAGGUGAACCUGCGGAAGGAUCAUUAACAAUAAUCCAAACACUUGUCUUGGCUGCGAACUUGCUCUAUAAACGAGCAGGCAAGCAGCCGCUGACACAACUCACACUAACAUUCAGCAUUGACAACUAAUGGAGAACCAAUACAAUAUAAAAGAAAAACAACUUUUAACAAUGGAUCUCUCGGCUCUU
rnacentral:misc_RNA from 1 species